CAUCGUCGUCCUCCUCGAACUCUCUCGAUCCCGUGGAUCAGUCCGCCUGCAUCCGCGCCCCCACGCUCCUCGGUGCCUGGUCCCUCCGCUGUGCCACCCAUACCUCUGCCACUCCGGCUCCGACCACCGCCCCUUCCACCUCCUCCCUGAGCCAAAGUCGACCGGGGCUCCCCCAGGCGCGCCUCAGCUUCUUCAUUGCGCGGCCGGCUCAGCUAGAAAAAAAAUCCCCACUGGCAGCUCGUUCUGUCCGUUGUUCCCGCCGCUGCCAGCACCUUCGGAUCUGCCCACCAUCCCCGCUAUCGCCACCGCUUUCUCCUCCGCUCUCCUGGUGUUGGAAGUGCAGAUCCAUCCACACUUUGGAUUGGUUUCUUCUUGCGUUGGUAAGAAAGCACUAGCUUGCUCUGAUGGAUUCCCAUUUUUUAUUUGUAGAGUUAGUGUUUGCUCUGGUUUUCCAUUUCCAUGCUGCGCGCAAUCAAAUCCCAAACUUUCUUACAUUCAAAUCCAUCCCCUUUGCUGUUGUCCACCCCUUCGCCUCCCACCUGAGCGAUGCGCACACGCGUGCCCAUGCGAUUCUUUGGCCUGCAGCCAGCGCCAAACCUUACUGGGUUGCAUAAGCUCAUGCCGGCCAGAUCUCAGCGGUGGCAGAGAGGAGCGAUGUUGGCCCUUUCUCCACUGCCACUGCCAUAUCCGCCUCCCCGAUUGGACCGUCAAGGAUGAGCACCAAUCGGAUUUGGAACGACACGACCGCAGGGAAGAAAAGGUGCCAUGGUGGGGAAUGGGCAGCAUGGAGGUCAUAGCCAACAGCGCCGCUACCUCCACCUCUGCCUCCCAGUGCGCUGCUCGCCUCCGUAUGCCUCCCCUUAGUUGCUGUUGUCUGCCCCUCCUUUGCAACCGGCAUUGAAGUGCUAUAAGCACAUGCUGACCACCUAUGAUUCAGGCAGCACGUCGAGGGCAGAUGGCAAGAUGGUGGGGAAUGGAUUCCCUACAUGAACUGCUCGCCGCUGAUUCCCUGCCGUGUCCUCUAAACACGGUGCUUCUCUCUACUCUGCCAUUACAAAGAAUUGAAUACAAAAGAUGUUGUUCGUUGAUAUUUCCAUGUUUCUUUUUGGAUUUAGUGAACUCGUACCUGCUCAAGUUUGACCUUGGCGCAUCUUCUCUCUGGUUUUUACUGCUAUUCAUCUUAAGAAAAUGAUAUCCUGAUGAUUUAGUUUGUUUCUAAUGUAUAGAGUCCACCAAUGUGAUGCUAAAUUCUCAAUUACAUGUAUCUCAUAUUUUUAUCUCUUGGCAGUAUGAUUCAAACCCUGUCGAGCAUCAUAAUCGUUCAGAAAUGUUCCAAUCCAUACUGUUAGAUCAAUUACUGAAUGCUUAUGUAGUAAAUCCAUAAAUACAUUUAGAAAUAUGUUCAGAAAUUGAAUGGCCAGAAGUUGAAUUGAUUGAUUAUAAGUAGGCUAUAUGUGUGACAAUUUGAGUUUGCAUGUUUUGAUGAAAAUGUUCAGCCAAGCCAUUGUUUUAUUCUUUCCCCUUCCAAAUUAAUGUGUAUUAUUCAAUUAGAGGGAGUUAGACCAUAUCAUAAGCAUUAGUAAUGAACAUAAUUAAGGUCAACUAUCAUGACAAAUCUUACAUUUUUAUGCAUAAAUAUGUAUGAGUUAAUCCUUGGAAGAAAAAAUUCGUGUCAAUCCUAAUGAUACUCUCCCUAACUGUUACUGUUUAAACUACAUGUAACUGAACUUUUCUUUGAGGCCCAUUAUGUUGCAGAUUGAUGGAGCACAAGAUACUUUUCACAUAUGGAAGUAAUUGCCUGAAUAUUCCGAGACGUAUGUUUAUCUCAUCAAAGAACUACUAAUCAACUGCUAAAAUCCAAUGGUUACUGGUCAUCCUUUGAACAUGAUCUCUCACUGAACUGUUACUUCCUUUCAAUAUUUUUAAUUUUUAAUUAUGUGCAUGUACUAUAGAAGAAAACAUUCAGUUGCAAUUCAGCUCGGUCAUGGCAUAUGAGGUGAUGGGAAUCUGAUGCAAAAUUAGGAAGAUAACAUUGACGCAAGGUCAGGUGGAUCAGAAAAAUAUGAUCCUUGACAAAUAUAAGCCUGUCAUGCAUAUCAGGCUCGUAUACAACAAAAGGACAAGCCAACGUAUUUGACAUGGUUCUCAACUGACUCUUGAACUCAUCAACUCAGCUCAGUGAUUCGUCACAAACACAUGGUUGCCAGUGCUCAAGGUGAUUUGUUCCAAUUUGAUAGUAACACUUUCACUUCACCUUGCAUCUAAUUCUAUAAGGUUCGGCUGCAUUAUUAAGAAACACAUGGUUAUUCUUUGCAAACAGCAAGAUGAUAACUCUAGUGGUAUCUGGUAAUCAGAUUCAGAUCUUAUCAAUUUACGAGAAAUGUUAAGCUGAAAGCUAUACUAAAAUGUUCUUAUAGGAAAUCAUAUAUUACAAGUCACAUACAGUUUGUAUUGCUAGAGAGCAAAUAUAGUAUUUCUUCAUUAAUUGUUCUUAUCAAAGUUUUUCCUGACCUUAUGACUCAUGUGACGGCAUAUACAACUACUGAGGGACUUCAAAUAUUAUAAAAAGUAAGUAUUCUUUGCUUCCUUCUGUAUAGAUCUACUUCCUUCUGCGUAUUAUGCCACCUUCCCUCAUUUCUAUUCCUUUUCCCCUAUUGCCCUUACUAAUUCCUCUGUCCUUUCCUUCUUUUCAAGUAAAUUUUGCUCUGUCAACAAACAUUAUUAAUCUCAGAUUGAAAGUACUUCUGAAUGUGUUAAAUGAAGGCAGGAAAUGACUGCUAUCAACAGCAAUCUUGAGUUGACAACUGCAAUUGUUGGACCAACAGGGUUCCAUAUGAUUGAUUAUGUGGUGAAUACAUUUUGUAACUAUGCAAUAACAAACGAAUUUAAAAUUUGAUAUGUUGGGUCAAAUAUGUUACUCUGAGAAGAGGAAUAUACUAUUAUUAAGUAUCGAA